GUGCCAGCAGCCGCGGUAAUACGGAGGAUGCGAGCGUUAUCCGGAUUUAUUGGGUUUAAAGGGUGCGUAGGCGGACUUUUAAGCGUGAGGUGAAAUGCGCGGGCUCAACCUGUGAACUGCCUCGCGAACUGGGAGUCUUGAAUGUCCGUGCCGUGGGAGGAAUGUGUGGUGUAGCGGUGAAAUGCAUAGAGAUCACACAGAACACCGAUUGCGAAGGCAUCUCACGAACGGAUGAUUGACGCUGAGGCACGAAAGCGUGGGGAUCAAACAGGAUUAGAUACCCUGGUAGUCCACGCAGUAAACGAUGAUAACUAACCGCUGGGCAUUCGUGUUCAGUGGCCAAGCGAAAGCGAUAAGUUAUCCACCUGGGGAGUACGACCGCAAGGUUGAAACUCAAAGGAAUUGACGGGGGCCCGCACAAGCGGAGGAACAUGUGGUUUAAUUCGAUGAUACGCGAGGAACCUUACCCGGGCUCGAACGGCAGAGGAACAAUCCAGAGAUGGUGCGGCCCUUCGGGGCUUCUGUCGAGGUGCUGCAUGGUUGUCGUCAGCUCGUGCCGUGAGGUGUCGGCUCAAGUGCCAUAACGAGCGCAACCCUUGUCGUCAGUUACCAGCACGUGAUGGUGGGGACUCUGGCGAGACUGCCACCGCAAGGUGAGAGGAAGGGGGGGAUGACGUCAAAUCAGCACGGCCCUUACGUCCGGGGCGACACACGUGUUACAAUGGGGGUUACAGAGGGGAACUACCUGGUGACAGGAUGGGAAUCUCGAAAAGCCCUCUCAGUCCGGAUCGGAGUCUGCAACUCGACUCCGUGAAGCUGGAUUCGCUAGUAAUCGCGCAUCAGCCAUGGCGCGGUGAAUACGUUCCCGGGCCUUGUACACACCGCCCG
rnacentral:rRNA from 1 species